GAGUAGACUGGAGGAGGAGGUGACUUGUAGUAAUAUGGUGGUGGAGGAGAGUAGACGGGUGGAGGAGGUGACUUGUAGUAGUAUGGUGGGGGAGGAGAGUAGACGGGUGGAGGUGGUGACUUGUAGUAGUAUGGUGGUGGUGGAGAGUAUACUGGAGGUGGUGGUGAUUUGUAGUAGUAUGGUGGAGGUGGAGAGUAUACUGGAGGUGGUGGUGACUUGUAGUAGUAUGGUGGAGGUGGAGAGUAUACUGGAGGAGGUGGUGAUUUGUAGUAGUAUGGUGGGGGAGGAGAGUACACUGGAGGUGGUGGUGAUUUGUAGUAGUAUGGUGGAGGUGGAGAGUAUACUGGAGGAGGUGGUGACUUGUAGUAGUAUGGUGGAGGAGGGGAAUAUACUGGAGGCGGUGGUGACUUGUAAUAGUACACAGGUGAAGGUGGGGGAGGUGACUUGUAGAUAGGUGAUGGAGGAGGUGGAGACUUGUAGUAGUAAGUUGGUGAUGGAGGAGGUGGGGACUUGUAGUAGUAAGUCGGGGACGGGGGAGGUGGCGACUUGUAGUAGUAAACAGGGGUAGGUGGAGGUGGGGACUUGUAGACGUAGGGAGGUGGGUAGUAAGGCUUAGGCUUCAUGCACUCCUUGUAAGGCUUCUUUGGAGCAUAUGCAAAAGGCUUAGCGUACAACACAACCUCAUACUUAGUCUUAGACUUGACCCUUAGCUUGGCGCCAACUUUGCCCCAGUGGAGGUUGGUUGGGAUGUUGCACAUUGAACCCUUGGGUGGUGCGUGGAGCUUAGCCUUGCAAGCCUUGCCUCCAUAUUUAGCAUAGUCAAAUCCUUUCACUUCAAUGCUAUAUUUACCAUUACUCUUUGUCUUUCCAUAUGCAACUACCUCUUUCUUUCCUGCCUUGCAACUCACUUCAACAACAGCUCCUACACAAAAUAAAAUUAAAAAAAAAAAGUUUAGAAAUUAGAAAAAUUAUACAAUUCAAGGUGAAUCCAUGGACACAUACAAAUUGAAUUAAAUUGUUAUUGAAUAAUGUAACAGACAGAAACAAUUUAAAAUACAACAAAAGUUUUUUGUAUCCAACAAGAAAAGGACAUCAUUUUAGCUUUUUACUGUAGGAUGCAAUUAUUCUAAUCUAGAAACUCUUGGCAUUCCUACUUUAAUAAAUUAACUUGUUUAGAUUCCAAAAAAAUUAAAAUAUUUAUUUGAAAUCACCAUUAUGAUCAGUUUUGAUGUGUAAUAAUUGAUGCAAUGAUAGCAUCCACAUGGACAACGGUGGUAUGCUUUUAUUCUAUUAUGGUGGGAGGGCAAAUUAGUAAAUAUGACUUCUUAAAUAUAUAUAUAUAUAAAUACAUUAUCCAAUUAAAGCCGGAAGAAAAGAAUCAUAUGGAAAAUGCUGUGUUUUUAGUAUUGUAAUCGAAUUAAGUCAUUUUCAAUUGCGAAAAGUAGUGCAUGGAUAGAAUUAUUAUCUAUUUUUGACUUGGUUUUUCAGGUACCCAUAUUUAGAAAAUCACAAUCCUAAUCAUGAAACUGACAUUAAAAUUAAAAAGACAGAGACAAAAAUUCUAAAUUAAAAGUUAAAAUUUGGGUUUGGAAGAAAAUAAUCAGAAUUUGAAUUUGAUGAAUAGUCAAUUUUAGAGGGAAAAUUUUUAUAUUGAAAAAUUACCUUUAAGGUGCUUCUUGUCGUGUGAUUUUUCAGGGUAGGCCCAAUCAUAGCAUCGGAUGCAGUAGACUUUUCCGACCACCUUAAAAACUAGGUGAUGGUGGUGUGGCGGGUAGUACGGUGGAGUGUAGGGCUUUGGAGGUGGAGAGUAGUAAACCGGUGGUGGUGGUGAUUUGUAGUAAGGUGGAGAGUAGGGAGGUGAGUAUGUUGGCGGUGGUGGAGAUUUGUAGUAAUAAACUGGUGGGGGUGAGUAAGUUGGUGGUGGUGGAGAUUUGUAGUAAUAGACUGGUGGGGGUGAGUAAGUUGGUGGUGGUGGUGAUUUGUAGUAGUAUGGUGGAGGAGGAGAUGGUGAUGGUGGGGGAGGGGACUUGUAGUAAUAUGGUGGAGGAGGUGAUGGAGAUGGGGGUGGUGGAGAUUUGUAGUAAUAUGGUGGAGGAGGAGAUGGCGAUGGUGGUGGAGGAGACUUGUAGUAAUAUGGUGGUGGUGGGGAUGGAGAAGGUGGUGGAGGAGAUUUGUAAUAAUAUGGUGGAGGAGGAGAGUAGACUGGAGGUGGGGGUGAUUUGUAGUAGUAUGGUGGUGGUGGGGAAGGAGAAGGUGGGGGUGGGGAUUUGUAGUAGUAUGGUGGAGGAGGUGAUGGUGAUGGUGGUGGGGGAGAUUUGUAGUAGUAUGGUGGAGGUGGUGAAGGAGAUGGUGGUGGUGGGGAUUUGUAGUAGUAUGGUGGAGGAGGUGAAGGUGAUGGUGGUGGUGGGGAUUUGUAGUAGUAUGGUGGAGGAGGUGAGGGUGAUGGUGGUGGUGGAGAUUUGUAGUAGUAUGGUGGAGGAGGUGAGGGUGAUGGUGGUGGAGGGGAUUUGUAGUAGUAUGGAGGAGGAGGUGACGGCGAUGGUGGUGGUGGAGAUUUGUAGUAGUAUGGAGGAGGAGGUGAAGGGGAUGGUGGUGGUGGAGAUUUGUAGUAGUAUGGAGGAGGAGGUGACGGGGAUGGUGGUGGUGGAGAUUUGUAGUAGUAUGGUGGAGGAGGUGAGGGUGAUGGUGGUGGUGGAGAUUUGUAGUAAUAUGGAGGAGGAGGUGAAGGAGAAGGUGGUGGUGGAGAUUUGUAGUAAUAUGGAGGAGGAGGUGAUGGGGAUGGUGGUGGAGGAGAUUUGUAGUAGUAUGGUGGAG
rnacentral:lncRNA from 1 species